GUCUAUGGCCAUACCACCCUGAAUGUGCUCAAUCUCACCUGAUCUUGGAAGCUAAGCAGGAUUGGGCCUAGUUAGUACUUGAAUGGGAGACCCCUGGGAAUAUGGGUGCUAUAGGCU
rnacentral:rRNA from 1 species